rnacentral:lncRNA from 1 species
ACUUACAGAGAGAUGGAUGGCUUUGGAGGUGCAGUAGUCGUGAAGAGCCUUUUGCUGCCACACCGGAUGACACUCAACUUGGUUCACGGCAGGGACGAUGGUGGCGUUCGCCAAAAGGUGGUCGAUCUUCUUUGACGAGAAGUUGCUCACACCGAUUGCACGAACUCGGCCGGUGCGCACAAGCUGCUCCAUUUGCUUCCAGGUCUCGUCCAGUUGCAAGGGGACGAUUUCAGUUUUGCGAGUGCCAUCUUCCUGUUGGUAGUGUUCCUUCACACGAACAGGCCAAUGAAUCUACACACAAGCAUGUCCUCUUGUCACAGACAGAAACAAAGAAUCUGGAUAUCUUACCAAAUAAAGGUCAAGAUAGUCCAGCUGCAAAUCCUGCAGUGUUUGAUCGCAAGCCUCCUGGACCCGAUCGUGAUCAGAGUUCCUGAAAAGAAAGAAAAAAAUCUAUUUAGAGGACAAAUAAAACGUUUCCAAAGAAAGCGAGAGAACCUGACCACAGCUUGGACGUAAUCCACAAAUCCCCACGCGUCACUGCACCACUAAGGAAGAUCUCUUGCAGCGCCAAUCCAAUCUACACAUGCAUGAACGAAGCGAGUAAGAAAAGAGAAGAGGGAAGAACUCUUAAGUUGUAGAGACAUCUUUCUCGUUGCCAUAGACGCUCGCGCAAUCGAUGUGACGAUACCCAGCCUGGGAAGAAGAGCAAACAGUGAGCUAGCUAGUGCUACGAAGAGAAAAAGAAGGAAAUUUGAUGCUUACAGCGACAGCGGCCUUCACUGUUGCUCCCGCUCGCCCCUUCUCCUCCUGCGAGUAUCCCGGCCACAUUCCCAGCCCGAUCGCGGGUAUGAGCGCCCCGGUGUGGAGCUGGAAAUGCGCCAUCGAUCCGCCAUCACCAGCGCCAUCGCCCAUCCCAACCUAAAAUUUCUCGAGGGGUUUUAGUUGAAGUUUCACUGCUCAUGGGUUCUUGAGGCGCAAUGUAGGUGGUGGGAGAAUGGCGCUUCUCUUUGCGCUCAAUGGGCGAAAGAUCGAGCUCAGCGAUGUCGAUCCCAGCAUGACGCUGCUGGAAUUUCUAAGAUGCCACACCGAUCUCAAGGGCACCAAGCUCGGAUGUGGAGAAGGUAAGUAAAAAACUAGUUUUUUUUUACAAGAACUUAGGCCUAGAUGGAUCGAUCUGUUAGCUUUCUUCUUUUUCUUCCUUGCUGACGAUCGGAUCAAACAUCCAGGGGGGUGUGGAGCUUGCGUGGUGGUGGCUUCCCGCUACGAUGCCUCCACAGACAGCGUGGAGGACGUUAGCAUAAACUCUUGCCUGGCUUUGCUGGGCUCUCUUCAUCUCCGUGCCGUGACGACGAUCGAGGGCCUGGGAAGCUCCAAAAACUCGGCUCCACGCUGUCCAGCGAAGGUUUCUGGGAUUUCACGCGUCCCAGUGUGGUUUUGCACGCCUGGUAUGUGCAUGUCGCUCUAUGGAGGCCUCAAGAACCAGCAAAGAAGGGUCUCUGUGGAUGGUGGAAAGUAUGAAAGUGGUGCUCUAGAGCAGUCGAUCCAGGGGAGUUUAUGCCGCUGCACGGGAUACAGGCCCAUAGUUGACGUGUGCAAGAGCUUUGGAAGCAGUGUAGACGUUGAAGAUCUCGGCCUGAACAUCUUCUGGAAGGACAGGAAGGAUGGUCGAAUGGAGCUUUUGCCGUGCUAUGAUCCGGGUGACGAUCCAAAGUUCCCAGAGUUUCUCAAGCAGGAGAUCAUUCAAAGGCAAUCCGCUAUAGAUUCUACUGGCACUUCUGCUAUGAUCGAGCACGAGAAGUGGAUUUGCGCUACGAGCUCUGGACAUGCUUUUGGACUGCUCAAACACUUCCAAACGCGUUCCAAGACGAGCAAGGAGGUGAAGAUCGUGGUGGGAAACACCAGCGCUGGAGUGUACAGGGACUGGGAUCAUAGCGUCUUCAUCGAUAUCAGCAGGAUUCCGGAGCUCCAUGUCGUAGAAGCAAGGAGCGACGGCAUUGAGUUCGGUGCUGCAGUGAGCAUCGCAAAGCUCAUCGACUUUCUCGACGAAAACUUUAAGAAAGCUGGCAGUGGUAUUGCGAAACACUUGAGAAAGGUUGCUUCUCCACACGUUAGAAACGCGGGGAGUGUUGGUGGCAACUUGAUCAUGGCUCAGAAAUUUGGCUUCGAUUCGGACAUCGCGACGGUGUUUCUGGGAUUCGGUGCUACGUUGAAGCUGCUGGUUUCUCCGGAUAAGCAAGUAAUCCAGAGCAUGGAAGAGUUUUUAGAAGGUGGUGGCGGAGUGGAUGAUUAUCCAAGCUCGUUGCUGACAAUGAUCUUCUUACCACUAAGAUCACAUGAAGCGGCCGAGUUUAAGACGUACCGAGCAUCACCGAGACUGUGAAGGAUCCCCUCGUUGUGCUCUGCUCGUCGCUUGAGCAUUUCUUCGUUGAUCACUCCCAUGCUCGAUAAAGAACAUAGAAGAGCCCUAACCCUAAUCCCACAAUUUAAACACGUAUACUAAACCUUUUUACCCUUGCAUAACAUUAAAGGGCAUAUACAGGUUAAAGUUUUUUACUCGUCCCAUAGAUCUUCGACUCUCUUGUAUGGAGAUGUGUCGUUCACCCACAUUGUUCCUUUGAUCAGCCUCUCCUGUAGAAAAAGAGAAAAGUCGGCUUGCUUUGAAAAUGCGAGUGACAAACCUGUUGGAUUCCAGAAAGCUUUUGGAAAUCCUCGUCCGGAAUGCUCCAUCCGAAAAUGUCCAGGUUUUCCUUGAGCCGAUCGGGAUUGGAGCUCUUCGGAAGGACGCUGUGACCCAUCUGGAUUCCCCAGCGUAGUGCUACUUGCGCUGGUGAUUUGCUGAGUUUGUCCGCGAUCUCUCUGACGAUGGGAUGGCCGAGGACUUUCGGACCCCAGUUUCCCAAAGGAGAGUACCCCUGACAAUAAGAAUAGCAUUGAGUUCCAACGGAAAACGAGAUCCAAUCCAGGACUUACAGAGAGAUGGAUGGCUUUGGAGGUGCAGUAGUCGUGAAGAGCCUUUUGCUGCCACACCGGAUGACACUCAACUUGGUUCACGGCAGGAACGAUGGUGGCGUUCGCCAAAAGGUGGUCGAUCUUCUUUGACGAGAAGUUGCUCACACCGAUUGCACGAACUCGGCCAGUGCGCACAAGCUGCUCCAUUUUCUUCCAGGUCUCGUCCAGUUGCAAGGGGACGAUUUCAGUUUUGCGAGUGCCAUCUUCCUGUUGGUAGUGUUCCUUCACACGAACAGGCCAAUGAAUCUACACACAAG